AUGAACGCUGGCGGCGUGCCUCAUACCUGCCAGUCGAGCGCACGGACGAGAAGCUUGCUUCUCUGAUGUUAGCGGCGGACGGGUGAGUAACACGUGGAUAACCUACCUAUAAGACUGGGAUAACUUCGGGAAACCGUAGCUAAUACCGGAUAAUAUUUUGAACCGCAUGGUUCAAAAGUGAAAGACGGUCUUGCUGUCACUUAUAGAUGGAUCCGCGCUGCAUUAGCUAGUUGGUAAGGUAACGGCUUACCAAGGCAACGAUGCAUAGCCGACCUGAGAGGGUGAUCGGCCACACUGGAACUGAGACACGGUCCAGACUCCUACGGGAGGCAGCAGUAGGGAAUCUUCCGCAAUGGGCGAAAGCCUGACGGAGCAACGCCGCGUGAGUGAUGAAGGUCUUCGGAUCGUAAAACUCUGUUAUUAGGGAAGAACAUAUGUGUAAGUAACUGUGCACAUCUUGACGGUACCUAAUCAGAAAGCCACGGCUAACUACGUG
rnacentral:rRNA from 1 species